UAUUACUGUUUUUGCUCUUUAGAUACUUUAAAUAUAACAGAACUAAGGUCCCCAUGUUAGGGCAACAAUGUGCCACCUAGCUGAUUUGCGGGCUAUAAGAAACAAAUGUGAGAGUGAACUCAUCAGAUUACUAUAGCAUUUGAAAAAAAAAAUCGCUCCAAUCCACUAUAAUGCCGAUUGCCAAGUGGGGGUAUUUGACGUGUAUGCUUGCUUGUGUUUUUGAAAAUUCUGAACAAGAUGGAUGUCAUAACACUAGCUGCCCAUAAUUGCAAUUAUUUAUUUACUCAUACAUUAUUAAUUCAUUUCAGAGGGAUGUUGCAGGGAAAACAUAAGCGCAUUAUGGAAAAAGAAAAGGACUAUCGUACAAGGACAAAGUGGCUUAUCUCAAUAGUUGUGCCCAGUGUUAUGUUUUUGUUAUUGAAAACAAGUUUCCUAUAUGUGAUGAUAAAUUAUUGUCUACUAAACAAAACUAUUUUUUAAUACUUUUUAAAAAUACAUUAUUGAUUGCGAUUCUUUUUCUGGUUCAUUUGCAGCUCUCUGAGUGGAUAAAAACAAGCUCCUCAGAAUUGGAAAAUUGGUACCAUCCAGAUCGAUGAUGGACUAUAUAACAUGCUGCGCCCUUGGUGUUCGGCGAAGCAAAACAGAUGGCAGGCUGGGCAAUGUCAAUGGCACAAAGCUCAAAUGGCCCCUGACACUCAAUUUAGUCACACAUGAAGCUGCCAUAUCAGUCUUUUUGUGUGUUGAGCUCUGCAUUCCGGUACUUCAAAAAAGGACCUGUAAUUUGUUCCACAUGAUGCUAUUCUUCGUCUAGAUUGCUCUACAUAGAGAACAAUGGAACUAGAUACUUAUUCUGUAAAGAUUUUUUAUUGUUAUUGCCUGUCUGUUAA